CCGUCCGAACUUUCACGCACUGCGUCGCCUCCUGGUCGCUGUCCAGGCGUCGCCAUCGACUGGAGGAACGCGGGACCGUCGUCCUCGCGUUCGUGCACCUCCAGGAAGAAGACUGCUCGAGGUGAGACGCCUCGGAUCCGUCGUGCGAAGGUGGAGCAGCUCCAGAGGGACGAACGUCAAGGUAGCCACUGCUCCGUAGCUGGUCUGGGAUAUGAGUACGGCCCUUGAUUCGUGCCGCCUGUUUUCUCUGCCGAAGUCGUGGUUGCAUGGAUGUGGCAAUGGUCGAAGGGUCGUCAC